rfam:Plesiomonas shigelloides 302-73 genomic scaffold scaffold00002, whole genome shotgun sequence.
CCUGGCGGCGAUAGCGCGGUGGUCCCACCUGACCCCAUGCCGAACUCAGAAGUGAAACGCCGUAGCGCCGAUGGUAGUGUGGGGUCUCCCCAUGCGAGAGUAGGGAACUGCCAGGC